CCUACGGGUGGCAGCAGUGAGGAAUAUUGGUCAAUGGCCGAGAGUCUGAACCAGCCAAGUAGCGUGAGGGAAGACGGCCCUACGGGUUGUAAACCUCUUUUGUCGGGGAGCAAAGCGAGUCACGUGUGACUCAUUGUGAGUACCCGAAGAAUAAGCAUCGGCUAACUCCGUGCCAGCAGCCGCGGUAAUACGGAGGAUGCGAGCGUUAUCCGGAUUUAUUGGGUUUAAAGGGUGCGCAGGCGGAAGAUCAAGUCAGCGGUAAAAUUUUGAGGCUAAACCUCUUCGAGCCGUUGAAACUGGUAGUCUUGAGUGAGUGAGAAGUAUGCGGAAUGCGUGGUGUAGCGGUGAAAUGCAUAGAUAUCACGCAGAACUCCGAUUGCGAAGGCAGCAUACCGGAGUGCAACUGACGCUCAUGCACGAAAGUGUGGGUAUCGAACAGGAUUAGAUACCCGGGUAGUC
rnacentral:rRNA from 1 species